GAACCAAAAAAGAAAAGAAAAAAUAUGUCGCUCGCUUAGGCUUAGGGUUGCUCCCUUCCCUGGCCGCCGCCACCAGCCCAAUCUCCGGCCGCCGCCCUCUCCGGUGCAUGGACCGGAAUCCCUCCCUCCGCGUCCCCCAGCCCACCACCACCAGCUCUCUCCUCAUCGUGAGCCCCUCCCCCAGCACCCCGGCAGAGAUCAUCCAGCCACCGACAUGCCGGAGUCCCUGCCGGCCGCCACCGAGAUGGCGAGAAGAUUGCUCUGUUUCCUUCACAAAAAUCAAGAGGAAAUCGUUGGCUACUGUAAUCCUGCUACACAAUAUUCAGUUAGCUAGAUGUUUGCUUUUCUUCAGUUUCGUCAGAAUAAGCAGCUGGUAGCUUUUGUUUUUGCUAGAGCAAAACGUUGCAGUUAGUUGCAGGAAGCACCAAAAUCUCUUGUGUUCGUUUCCUUCCUGUGAUCGACGGAGAGAAAUGAGACAGAAGCUAGUUGUACUGACUGGUCUGAAGGUAAUUGUAGCGGAGGAACCAAGGGAGCAUCGACUGGUCUGAAGGAUGUCUGAGAGAAAUGCAACAUCGGCAUUGCAGGAGGAGAAUGUCUUAAGAGAAAGUCAGAUGAUGUGGGAUGAGACUAUGGGAGUCUAGCUGAUGCUUCCAACAAGGAUAAAGUGAAGUGUAUUUUCUGUAACCAUGUGAGCACUGGAGGUGUUACCAACUCUCCUGGUAACAGUAUGAUGUGUAUGCUAUGUGUGUUCAAUGUUCCACUUC